AGUGAACGCUGGCGGUAGGCCUAACACAUGCAAGUCGAACGGCAGCACAGUAAUAGCUUGCUCUUACGGGUGGCGAGUGGCGGGCGGGUGAGGAAUACAUCGGAAUCUACUUUUUCGUGGGGGAUAACGUAGGGAAACUUACGCUAAUACCGCAUACGACCUACGGGUGAAAGCAGGGGAUCUUCGGACCUUGCGCGAUUGAAUGAGCCGAUGUCGGAUUGGCUAGUUGGCGGGGUAAAGGCCCACCAAGGCGACGAUCCGUAGAUGGUCUGGGAGGAUGAUCAGCCACACUGGAAGUGAGACACGGUCCAGACUCCUACGGGAGGCAGCAGUGGGGAAUAGUGGACAAUGGGCGCAAGCCUGAUCCAGCCAUACCGCGUGGGUGAAGAAGGCCUUCGUGUUGGAAAGCCCUUUUGUUGGGAAAGAAAAGCAGCAGGUUAAUACCCCGCUGUUCUGACGGUACCCAAAGAAUAAGCACCGGCUAACUUCGUG
rnacentral:rRNA from 1 species